UCUGUGUGGUGCUACUAGAACACAUUUAAGACCAGAUGGCCUGGCCUCAGUACAGGUAACAAAUCAGUUUGUCCUAGACAAAGGCAGAUGGGUUUACUUCAGUUUACAUAUUGGCAGUAAACAAAGCCAUCAAGUUAAACCAUUGGGGGUUAUCCUGAGACCAAACUCGUGAGACAGAGAAUUAACAAGGCUCAUGCACCCCAAAGAGACGCAGGAGACUGAAUCUCCAGGAGGCCUUCCUGACUUUUAGGACAAAGACAAUCCCUUUGGGGAUAUAAGGGACAGAGAGAGAGAGAGAGAGAGAGAGAGAGAGAGAGAGAGAGAGACUCCAUCUUCAUCCUAGCCCUGAGGAGACAAAGAAACCAAGCACUUUGUGGUCCGGGAAUUGACUCCUGGCCAGGGAGUCUGGUCAGCCAUGUUGGACAUAGAAUAAAUGAGAAAACUACCUUGAGCAAAGACUAUAGCUUGUUAGGUCUUAGCCAUUAGAAAGCCUAUUUUAACGUUUGUUUGUGUAACCUGUUCUACCGUCAAUCCCUUCUAUUUGCUAUCACUUAAACUUAACGGACCCAGUGCUGUAUUUGAAUCGAAGUGAUUGUGAACUCCAAAGUGAUAAGCGGUGCUUGUGUCUCUUUAAAGGAGCAACGAACCUUAUCCACUUCUCGGAGUGUUCCAGGAGAGGGCUGGAUACUUCAGGCUGCAAGUCCCUCGGAAUCUGAACCCAUCAGGAGCACGGAAGGUGUGGAGUCUUUCUCCUAGAGGAAGCAAUCCAUUGCCUGCUCACGCCAUAUGCAUGUGAAGAGUGCUACCGGACAUAUCACUAGCCUUAGUAAUCGGAGUCCAGGGAUCUCGUUAAUCAAGGAGAUACUGGCCUAGGACAUGGGAGACCUGGGUUCAGUUCCCUGCUUUGCCACAGGGAAUAACCUUGGGCGAGUCACUGAGCUGCUCUCUUCCUCAGUUUCCCCAUCUGUACAAUGGGGUAAUAACACUGCCCACUUCAGAGGAGGGGUUUGAGGAUAAAUGUACUAAAGAGUGUGACCUGAAGGAGAGCUCUGUGGAAGCUCAAAAGCUUGUCUCUUUCUCCCCUACAGAAGUUGGUCCAAUAAAAGUUUGCCUCACCCACCUUAUGUCUCUAGG